AUUGAACGCUGGCGGCAUGCUUUACACAUGCAAGUCGAACGGCAGCGCGGGCUUCGGCCUGGCGGCGAGUGGCGAACGGGUGAGUAAUACAUCGGAACGUGCCCAGUAGUGGGGGAUAGCUCGGCGAAAGCCGGAUUAAUACCGCAUACGACCUGAGGGUGAAAGCGGGGGAUCUUCGGACCUCGCGCUAUUGGAGCGGCCGAUGGCAGAUUAGCUAGUUGGUGGGUAAAGGGCUACCAAGGCGACGAUCUGUAGCUGGUCUGAGAGGACGACCAGCCACACUGGGACUGAGACACGGCCCAGACUCCUACGGGAGGCAGCAGUGGGGAAUUUUGGACAAUGGGCGAAAGCCUGAUCCAGCAAUGCCGCGUGUGUGAUGAAGGCCUUCGGGUUGUAAAGCACUUUUGGCGGGAACGAAAAGGACUGUGCCAAUACCACGGUUCGAUGACGGUACCCGCAGAAUAAGCACCGGCUAACUACGUG
rnacentral:rRNA from 1 species